ACAGCAUCUAGCUUGCUAGAUGCUGACGAGCGGCGGACGGGUGAGUAACGCGUAGGAAUCUACCCAGUAGCGGGGGAUAAGCCAGAGAAAUUUGGUCUAAUACCGCAUACGCCCUUCGGGGGAAAGCAGGGGCUCUUCGGACCUUGCACUAUUGGAUGAGCCUGCGUGAGAUUAGCUAGUUGGUGAGGUAAUGGCUCACCAAGGCGACGAUCUCUAGCUGGUCUGAGAGGAUGAUCAGCCACACUGGGACUGAGACACGGCCCAGACUCCUACGGGAGGCAGCAGUGGGGAAUAUUGCACAAUGGGCGAAAGCCUGAUGCAGCCAUGCCGCGUGUGUGAAGAAGGCCUUAGGGUUGUAAAGCACUUUCAGUCGUGAGGAAAGGUGUGUGCUUAAUACGUACAUACUGUGACGUUAGCGACAGAAGAAGGACCGGCUAACUCCGUGCCAGCAGCCGCGGUAAUACGGAGGGUCCGAGCGUUAAUCGGAAUUACUGGGCGUAAAGCGCGCGUAGGUGGAUUGGUCAGUCAGAUGUGAAAGCCCAGGGCUCAACCUUGGAACUGCAUCUGAUACUGCUAGUCUAGAAUACAGUAGAGGGUAGUGGAAUUUCCUGUGUAGCGGUGAAAUGCGUAGAUU
rnacentral:rRNA from 1 species